UUUCUUGAUUAGUGGCGCACGGGUGAGUAAUGCAUAGAUAAUGUGCCCCUUAGUUCGGGAUAGCCACUGGAAACGGUGAUUAAUACCGGAUACUCCUUCUUGUUAUAAGACAAGUCGGGAAAGUUUUUCGCUAAGGGAUCAGUCUAUGUUCCAUCAGCUUGUUGGUGAGGUAAUGGCUCACCAAGGCUAUGACGGAUAUCUGGUUUGAGAGGAUGAUCAGACACACUGGAACUGAGACACGGUCCAGACUCCUACGGGAGGCAGCAGUGAGGAAUAUUGCACAAUGGAGGAAACUCUGAUGCAGCAACGCCGCGUGGAGGAUGACGCAUUUCGGUGUGUAAACUCCUUUUAUUAGGGAAGAUAAUGACGGUACCUAAUGAAUAAGCACCGGCUAACUCCGUGCCAGCAGCCGCGGUAAUACGGAGGGUGCAAGCGUUACUCGGAAUCACUGGGCGUAAAGGGUGCGUAGGCUGGCUUUUAAGUCAGAUGUGAAAUCCAAUGGCUCAACCAUUGAACUGCAUUUGAAACUGAAAGCCUAGAGUUCAGAAGGGGCAGAUGGAAUUAGUGGUGUAGGGGUAAAAUCCGUAGAUAUCACUAGGAAUAUCAAAAGCGAAGGCGAU
rnacentral:rRNA from 1 species